rnacentral:lncRNA from 1 species
GAAAGACCGUCUUAUGCUCCACCUCUCACCCCAGCUCCUGCAACACAAAUGCCCAGCACACCAGGGUUUGUGAGAUACAAUCCAUACAGUCAUCUCACCUACAACAACUACAGGCUUGAAGGGAACCCAGGCACCAACAGCCAGGUCACAGCAUCCUCUGCUAUUACCAUACCAAAACCCCCAAAGCCACCAGAUAAGCCGCUGAUGCCCUACGUGAGGUACAGGCAGAAAGGUCUGGGAC